UAGAUUAAAGCCCGUCGGUUUGGGUGACUAGCUGUUAAUUAGUUUUUUGUAGGAUCGAGGCCUACUAGUCUAG
rnacentral:tRNA from 1 species